AUUGAACGCUGGCGGCAGGCCUAACACAUGCAAGUCGAGCGAGCGGCGGACGGGUGAGUAAUGUCUGGGAAACUGCCUGAUGGAGGGGAAUAACUACUGGAAACGGUAGAUAAUACCGCAUACCAUCAGAUGUGCCCAGAUGGGAUUAGCUAGUAGGUGGGGGAACGGCUCACCUAGGCGACGAUCCCUAGCUGGUCUGAGAGGAUGACCAACCACACUGGAACUGAGACACGGUCCAGACUCCUACGGGAGGCAGCAGUGGGGAAUAUUGCACAAUGGGCGCAAGCCUGAUGCAGCCAUGCAGCGUGGGUGAAGAAGGCCUUCGGGUUGUAAAGUACUGUCAGUGGGGAGGCGUUACCCGCAGAAGAAGCACCGGCUAACUCCGUGCCAGCAGCCGCGGUAAUAC
rnacentral:rRNA from 1 species